AGCAGCCGCGGUAAUUCCAGCUCCAAUAGCGUAUAUUAAAGUUGUUGCAGUUAAAAAGCUCGUAGUUGAAUUUCGGGAUUGGCGCAUCGGUCGUGCCUUACGGGGUAUGAACUGGUGCAGUCAAUUUCUCACCUUCUGGAGAACCGCGAUGUCCCUAAUUGGGUGCCGUGGGGAACCAGGACCUUUACUUUGAAAAAAUUAGAGUGUUUAAAGCAGGCAUUUUUGCUUGAAUACAUUAGCAUGGAAUAAUAAAAUAGGACGGCAUGGUUCUAUUUUGUUGGUUUCUAGGACCACCGUAAUGAUUAAUAGGGAUAGUUGGGGGCAUUAGUAUUCAAUUGUCAGAGGUGAAAUUCUUGGAUUUAUUGAAGACUAACUACUGCGAAAGCAUUUGCCAAGGAUGUUUUCAUUAAUCAAGAACGAAAGUUAGGGGAUCGAAGACGAUCAGAUACCGUCGUAGUCUUAACCAUAAACUAUGCCGACUAGGGAUCGGAUGAUGUUAAAUUAAUGACUCAUUCGGCAC
rnacentral:rRNA from 1 species